GAUGAACGCUGGCGGCGUGCCUAAUACAUGCAAGUCGAGCGAACAGAUGAGGAGCUUGCUCCUCUGACGUUAGCGGCGGACGGGUGAGUAACACGUGGAUAACCUACCUAUAAGACUGGGAUAACUUCGGGAAACCGGAGCUAAUACCGGAUAAUAUAUUGAACCGCAUGGUUCAAUAGUGAAAGACGGUUUUGCUGUCACUUAUAGAUGGAUCCGCGCCGCAUUAGCUAGUUGGUAAGGUAACGGCUUACCAAGGCAACGAUGCGUAGCCGACCUGUGAGGGUGAUCGGCCACACUGGAACUGGGACACGGUCCAGACUCCUACGGGAGGAAGCAGUAGGGAAUCUUCCGCAAUGGGCGAAAGCCUGACGGAGCAACGCCGCGUGAGUGAUGAAGGUCUUCGGAUCGUAAAACUCUGUUAUUAGGGAAGAACAAAUGUGUAAGUAACUAUGCACGUCUUGACGGUACCUAAUCAGAAAGCCACGGCUAACUACGUG
rnacentral:rRNA from 1 species